UUCAUGGAUUAAUAUAUGUCUGUAUUUUUACUAGAAGACGAUGAAGAUUUGAAUGUCUGCAUGUAAUGCUUCACAAUUUUACUCCUUGCUUUUGAAGGCUCUGCAUGCUUCUCUUCCAACCAAUUACUUACUAGCUGCAACAGCCUGACAGUAUGUUCCUAAGAUUGUUGUUGCUGAAGAGAUGAUUGCAUGUGAAGAACUGCUACAGAUCAGAUGGCAACCUUUGAUCAGGUUUUCACCUUAUGAUCUCUUGGAGUGAUCUUACCAUUCUAUGGCAACCUUUGAUCAGUCAAUGGAGAUUGACCAUGAUGAUGGCUGCAUAUGAGUGAAGAAGACAAAUGCUCUGGAUGAUGCCAAUAUGUACAAGGAUACAGGGGUGGGUCUAUCAAAUUCCUGCUAUGCAUCUCUGAUACUGGUUAAGAAGCAAAGUGCCAUGGUUAUCAUCACUGUUUUGGAGGAUAUAGACUCUAUGCCUCUCCAUCCCUUGGGCUUCUUUGAGUGCCGAAGUGUUUCAUGCUGAAUGGUACUUGGUAAAUGGAGCACGGUGCUGGAGGGAACAGAGGCGGCUGGACGAGGCAGCGGCGCGAUGGGUUUGGG